UACAGAGGUCUCAACCGUUGUUCGGAUUUAUUGGGUUUAAAGGGUGCGUAGGCGGCUUUGUAAGUCAGUGGUGAAAUAUGGCAGCUCAACUGUCAAGGUGCCAUUGAUACUGCGGAGCUUGAGUACAGAUGAGGUAGGCGGAAUUGACGGUGUAGCGGUGAAAUGCUUAGAUAUCGUCAAGAACACCUAUAGCGAAGGCAGCUUACUAGGCUGUAACUGACGCUGAGGCACGAAAGUGUGGGGAUCAAACAGG
rnacentral:rRNA from 1 species